AUUAUCGUGGAUGGGAGGGUGGCGGUGAUUGACCUUUGAUGGAGAAAGGAGAUACAGGUGGUGGUCUAUUAUCGUGGAUGGGAGGGUGGCGGUGAUUGACCUUUGAUGGAUAAAGGAGAUACAGGUGGUGGUCUAUUAUCGUGGAUGGGAGGGUGGCGGUGAUUGACCUUUGAUGGAGAAAGGAGAUACAGGUGGUGGUCUAUUAUCGUGGAUGCUGGCAUGGCGGUGAUUGACCUUUAAUGGAGACAGGAGAUACAGGUGGUGGUCUAUUAUCGUGGAUGGGAGGGUGGCGGUGAUUGAUCUUUGAUGGAGAAAGGGGGUACAGGUGGUGGUCUAUUAUCGUGGAUGGGAGGGUGGCGGUGAUUGAUCUUUGAUGGAGAAAGGAGAUACAGGUGGUGGUCUAUUAUCGUGGAUGCUGGCAUGGCGGUGAUUGAUCUUUGAUGGAGAAAGGAGAUACAGGUGGUGGUCUAUUAUCGUGGAUGGGAGGGUGGCGGUGAUUGAUCUUUGAUGGAGAAAGGAGAUACAGGUGGUGGUCUAUUAUCGUGGAUGGGAGGGUGGCGGUGAUUGAUCUUUGAUGGAGAAAGGAGAUACAGGUGGUGGUCUAUUAUCGUGGAUGAGAGUGUGGCGGUGAUUGAUCUUUGAUGGAGAAAGGAGAUACAGGUGGUGGUCUAUUAUCGUGGAUGCUGGCAUGGCGGUGAUUGAUCUUUGAUGGAGAAAGGGGAUACAGGUGGUGGUCUAUUAUCGUGGAUGGGAGGGUGGCGGUGAUUGAUCUUUGAUGGAGAAAGGAGAUACAGGUGGUGGUCUAUUAUCGUGGAUGGGAGGGUGGCGGUGAUUGAUCUUUGAUGGAGAAAGGAGAUACAGGUGGUGGUCUAUUAUCGUGGAUGCUGGCAUGGCGGUGAUUGAUCUUUGAUGGAGAAAGG